GACGAACGCUGGCGGCGUGCCUAAUACAUGCAAGUCGAGCGCAGGAAACUGACGGAACUCUUCGGAGGGAAGGCAGUGGAAUGAGCGGCGGACGGGUGAGUAACACGUAAGGAACCUGCCUCAAGGAUUGGGAUAGCUCCGAGAAAUCGGAGCUAAUACCGGAUAGUUCAACGGACCGCAUGGUCCGCUGAUGAAAGGCGCUUCGGCGUCACCUUGAGAUGGCCUUGCGGUGCAUUAGCUAGUUGGUGGGGUAACGGCCCACCAAGGCGACGAUGCAUAGCCGACCUGAGAGGGUGAUCGGCCACACUGGGACUGAGACACGGCCCAGACUCCUACGGGAGGCAGCAGUAGGGAAUCUUCCACAGUGGACGAAAGUCUGAUGGAGCAACGCCGCGUGAGUGAUGAAGGUUUUCGGAUCGUAAAACUCUGUUGUAAGGGAAGAACACGUACGAGAGGGAAUGCUCGUACCUUGACGGUACCUUACGAGAAAGCCACGGCUAACUACGUGCCAGCCGCCGCAGUAA
rnacentral:rRNA from 1 species